rnacentral:tRNA from 1 species
GGCACUUUGGCGGAGUGGUUAACGCGCUGGCCUGCUAGUCCCUUUCGGGAAAGUCAGCCAGUUCCUUCGGGAGCGUGUGUUCGAAUCACACAGGUGUCG